AACGAACGCUGGCGGCAGGCCUAACACAUGCAAGUCGAGCGCAGUCCUACGGGACCGAGCGGCGGACGGGUUAGUAACGCGUGGGAACGUACCCUUUUCUACGGAAUAGCCUCGGGAAACUGAGAGUAAUACCGUAUAAGCCCUUCGGGGGAAAGAUUUAUCGGGAAAGGAUCGGCCCGCGUUAGAUUAGAUAGUUGGUGGGGUAACGGCCUACCAAGUCUACGAUCUAUAGCUGGUUUUAGAGGAUGAUCAGCAACACUGGGACUGAGACACGGCCCAG
rnacentral:rRNA from 1 species